rnacentral:lncRNA from 1 species
GACUUUUAAACCCUAACUUAUUCAAUUCUAACGUGAGUUUAGAAGUUAAAGAGUCAAUGGCGGCGUUGUCGUCUAGGAAAUGGAAAGAACAAAGAGAAAAUGAGCCCAAAGAGAAAUAAAAAUAUGGAUGGAACCUCCAAAUUGUAAGAUCGGAUCUCAAAGAAAAGUUCAUGUUAUUUAUUACCUCUGUAGAUAUGGGCAACUCGAGCGCACCCCCAUUUCAUGGAGGUUAC